UAGGGAAUCUUCCGCAAUGGGCGAAAGCCUGACGGAGCAACGCCGCGUGAGUGAUGAAGGUCUUCGGAUCGUAAAACUCUGUUAUUAGGGAAGAACAAAUGUGUAAGUAACUAUGCACGUCUUGACGGUACCUAAUCAGAAAGCCACGGCUAACUACGUGCCAGCAGCCGCGGUAAUACGUAGGUGGCAAGCGUUAUCCGUAAUUAUUGGGCGUAAAGCGCGCGUAGGCGGUUUUUUAAGUCUGAUGUGAAAGCCCACGGCUCAACCGUGGAGGGUCAUUGGAAACUGGAAAACUUGAGUGCAGAAGAGGAAAGUGGAAUUCCAUGUGUAGCGGUGAAAUGCGCAGAGAUAUGGAGGAACACCAGUGGCGAAGGCGACUUUCUGGUCUGUAACUGACGCUGAUGUGCGAAAGCGUGGGGAUCAAACAGG
rnacentral:rRNA from 1 species